AUAAAUAAAAGAAACAUUUGUUAGGAAUAUAGUAGCUAACACAAAGGUAUCUGAACAUAAAAUUAAGAAACAGCAUAUUGAAUUCAGGACUAUACUAAAAAACACAAAGCAGCCAAGUGGCCAGGCCCCCCUGGGUAGGGGGACUGGGUCUGAGAUGGGUACCCUCCUCAUCAACAAGAUCUGGGAGGAGUACCCAGACAGGAUCAUGAACACGUUCACUGUGGUGCCCUUACCCAAGGUGUCAGACAUGGUGGUGGAGCCCUACAAUGCCACCCUCCCUAUACACUAGCUCAUAGGAAACACAGACGAGACCUACUGCAUUGAUAAUGAAGCUCUCUAUGACAUCUGCUUCAGAACCCUAAAACUGCUAUGCUCACCUAUGGUAACCUGAACCACCUGGUGUCUGCCACCAUGAGUGGGGUCACGACCUGCCUGUGCUUCCCAGACCAGCUCAAUUCUGACCUGCAGAAACACGCUGUGAAUAUGGUCCCAUUCCCUCACCGGCACUUCUUCAUGCCCAGCUUUGCCCCGCUGACCAGCCAGGGAAGCCAGCAAUCCCGGGCCCUGACAAUGCCCGAGCUCACCCACCAGGCCAAGAACAUGAUGGUGGCCUGCGACCCCCACCAUGGCCAUGUUUAGGGGCCACAUGUCCAUGAAGGGGGUGGAUAAGCAAAUGCUUAAUGUCCAAAACAAGAACAGCAGCUACUUUGUUGAGUGGAUCCCCAACAAUGAGAAAAUGGCUGUCUGUGACAUCCCACCCUGAGGGCUAAAAAUGUCUGCCACCUUCAUUGGCAACAGCAGGGCCAUCCAGGAGCUGUUCUAGCGCAUCUCGGAGCAGUUCACAGCCAUGUUUCCGCACAAGACCUUCCUGCACUGUUACACGGGCAAGGGCCUGGACAAGAUGGAGUUCACCAAGGCCAAGAGCAACAUGAAUUACCUGGUAUUCAAAUACUAACAGUACCAGGACACCACAGCUGAGGAGGAGGGUGAGUUUGAGAAGGAGGUGGCCUAGAGCCUCCAGUCACUGGGGAAAGCAGAGAAGCGGUGUGAACUCUUUAUUCACUCCCAGCCUGUCCUCUGGCCUGUGCCUCUGUGUGUGCACUUGCUGUUUUCCCUGUCCAUGUCCCAUGCUGUACAGACACCAUUAUUAAAGCAUUUUCAUAGUGAAAAAAA